rnacentral:rRNA from 1 species
GAUGAACGCUAGCGGCAGGCCUAAUACAUGCAAGUCGAGGGGUAGAAGAGGCUUGCUUCUUUGAGACCGGCGCACGGGUGCGUAACGCGUAUGCAACCUACCUUCAUCUGGGGGAUAGCCCGGAGAAAUCCGGAUUAAUACAGCAUAAAAUCACAGGAUGGCAUUAUCCAAUGAUCAAACAUUUAUGGGAUGGAGAUGGGCAUGCGUGGCAUUAGCUAGUUGGCGGGGUAACGGCCACCAAGGCGACGAUGACUAGGGGAUCUGAGAGGAUGGCCCCCCACGCUGGUACUGAGACACGGACCAGACUCCUACGGGAGGCAGCAGUAAGGAAUAUUGGUCAAUGGAGGCAACUCUGAACCAGCCGUGCCGCGUGCAGGAAGACUGCCCUAUGGGUUGUAAACUGCUUUUAUUCGGGAAUAAACCUUAUUACGUGUAAUAAGCUGAAUGUACCGAAGGAAUAAGGAUCGGCUAACUCCGUGCCAGCAGCCGCAGUAA